rnacentral:rRNA from 1 species
CGGGUGCACUGAUCCAGCCGGGCCUUUCCCUCUGUGGAACCCCAUGGCCUUCACUGGCUGUGGUGGGGAAACAGGACUUUUACUUUGAAAAAAUUAGAGUGCUCCAGGCAGGCCUAUGCUCGAAUACAUUAGCAUGGAAUAAUAGAAUAGGACGUGUGGUUCUAUUUUGUUGGUUUCUAGGACCGCCGUAAUGAUUAAUAGGGACAGUCGGGGGCAUCAGUAUUCAAUUGUCAGAGGUGAAAUUCUUGGAUCUAUUGAAGACUAACUACUGCGAAAGCAUUUGCCAAGGAUGUUUUCAUUGAUAAGGAACGAAAGUUAGGGGAUCGAAGACGAUCAGAUACCGUCGUGGUCUUAACUAUAAACUAUGCCGACUAGGGAUCGGACGAUGUUAUUCUUUGACGCGUUCGGCACCUUUCGAGAAAUCAAAGUGCUUGGGCUCCAGGGGGAGUAUGGUCGCAAGGCUGAAACUUAAAGAAAUUGACGGAAGGGCACCACCAGGGGUGGAACCUGCGGCUUAAUUUGACUCAACACGGGGAAACUCACCAGGUCCAGACACAGUGAGGAUUGACAGAUUGAGAGCUCUUUCUUGAUUCUGUGGGUGGUGGUGCAUGGGCCGUUCUUAGUUGGUGGAGUGAUUUGUCUGCUUAAUUGCGAUAACGAACGAGACCUUAACCUGCUAAAUAGCCCGUACUGCUUUGGCAGUUCGCCGGCUUCUUAGAGGGACUAUCGG